rnacentral:ncRNA from 2 species
GUGUUGUGGGAAAAAAGGGGUUAGCAUCUCUCUUGUUAAGAAUCGAAGAGGCCCUUGGGCCUAUUUUCAUAGCACCUACCAUGGUUUUUU